CUAGAGCAGUCGAAUUCUCGUCGCGACAGCUGACAACAACUUGAGCUUAAACUUCGCGUUUUAUGGAAGUAUGGAGGACUACAGGGAAGAGGAGAAAGAACUGGAGGUUCUUGUGUGUUAUGAGAAUAAAGAAACGAGGUGUUGGGGGACGAGCAGCAGACUGGAUGGAGACGAGGACGUCAAAGUGAUGAGAGGAAACGCUGGAGGAGCUGCUGGAGAACCACAGAUGGGCUCAUCAGAAGCUGCUCAGCCGCCUCCGAGACAAGGUCGAUUCUAGACGAACUCACAUGACUGCUGAAUGAACAAAGAGACUUGAAGGGCCGGGAGGAGACGGGGACUGGAGCACAAGGAACAAACAUUUGAUGAGUGCAGUCUUCUGACCACGACUGAGGAUGACGGAGUUUCUUCGCUGACUUCAUCCACGUCUUCUUCUGCUGAAUGCAGACGGUGUACCCAGAAGGGUCGGAGGGGGUCAUGCAGGGGUUUUUCAGGGGGUUUUUCACUAAAUAAACACGAAAAAAAAAAAAAAAAAAAAAAAAAAGACGCAUUUUUGUGUUUCAUAACCUCUCCGUUCUAUGUCUCCGAAAGCCCAGGAGGAGACGCACGUCUCAUACUCCCUUCGGUACCUGACACUUACGCAACCCCACUACCCCGGGGAUUCGAACUCUAGUUCUUGUGUAACCACACAACCAUCCAAACCGAAUGUUCCGCCACCAACCCACCAAUGCCAAGCACACUUGGACUGUUCUCCUGGUAACUUUGUCUUCGUCAUUGUGGAAGUUAGACCUCAAAACUCACCACAUAAGGAUCGAACUCACAACCUCCAGUCUUCUAACCCAGCUUCUAUCACUCUGAGCUAUUGGUCUUAACACUCUUAUCUAAUGUUUUUGGUCGUAUUUGACUUCUUCAUUUAGGAUGUU